ensembl:lncRNA novel transcript
AUUAUCUGAUGAGGAGAGUGAGCUUUGAAGAAGUUAAAUAAAUUGCCCAGGACCACACAGGCAGAAUCAGGACGUUAACCAGCACAGACUGAAUCUCGAGUCCACACUGUGCUGCAUGGCCACCCUCUGGAGGCCUGUGAUGUCCCCUCUGACUGCUGCCCUACAGCCAGCAGAGACGAUCACUGAACCCAGGCACUUGCACAGCCCAAUGCUGAAGAAGGCAGGUGUGGAUGCAUGAAUGAAAGGUGAAGGAGCAAAAUAUAUCUGUAUUUGUUGAUUUAUUCAUCUGCAACAAUAUAUUUGCUGAACGUGCCUCCUCAACUGGUGAACUGUAAUGGGGGAGGAGAAGACAAAAGAAGGCCAACUGGAAGAAAUGAAAAUGGUGUGUCUCCUUAAGGAGGUUGGAUCCCAGAGAAGGAAGAUAAUGGGAGAGAGAGAGGUGUGGCUUUUGUUGGGCUUCCUCCUAACUAUCCAUUUUGGUGAUGGCUGAGUGUGUCCUGAAGAGAAAGGAUUACAUGUAACUCAAACCUGAUCCACAAAACUUCUGUAGUCCAA